CUACCUGAAUACUCUCCUGAGGAAAGAGCCUGGCAACAAGAUGAAGCAAGCCAAGUCUGUGGGUGACCUCGCCCCACCUGAAUGGGACUGGAGGAGUAAGGGGGCUGUCACAAAAGUCAAAGACCAGGGCAUGUGUGGCUCCUGCUGGGCCUUCUCAGUCACAGGCAAUGUGGAGGGCCAGUGGUUUCUCAACCAGGGGACCCUGCUCUCCCUCUCUGAACAGGGUGAGCAUCUCGCUCUACUCCUCUGUCCCCAGCCUAGCCCCUCAGGAGGGCUUCUUGGGACCAGCCUUCUGUCUCCUAGAGCUCUUGGACUGUGACAAGAUGGACAAGGCCUGCAUGGGCGGCUUGCCCUCCAAUGCCUACUCGGCCAUAAAGAAUUUGGAGGAUGACUACAGCUACCAGGGUCACAUGCAGUCCUGCAACUUCUCAGCAGAGAAGGCCAAGGUCUACAUCAAUGACUCCGUGGAGCUGAGCCAGAACGAGCAGAGUGAGUGAGGGGCAGGGUGAGGUGAGGUCAGGUGGGGCCGGGGCCUGGGUGCCUACUGAUGCCACCCCUUCCCAUCUCAGAGCUGGCAG
rnacentral:lncRNA from 1 species